ACAUUAAUCAUCGCUAUGAGCAUUGUAAAUUUAGAUCGAUCGACGAUACCACUUCCGUAGUACCCGUAAUUUUCCUUUUGUUUCGCGAUCGAGAAUUAACAACAAGAAUCAGCAAAUAGACGUUCACACACGGAUUAAGAUUGCUCGUGGUGUCUGUUUUCGCGGGGCACGGAUCGCAGGUGUUUUGCGGCAUUCAAGGACGUUUUGUGAAAAACCAGACUCGCGCCCACGAUAUUACGUUAAUUAGUUAAUUUAAGCGUUCGGAGGAGCGCGAGCGAAAAGUGCGACCGACAAUCCCACGAGCCGUGUAUCCCGCAAUCUGGUUACUCAAACUUGAAUAAAUUUCCCACGACACCGAGACAACUACAUUUUCUGGUCAUCGAAUCAGAACUGUGUGAAAUUUUCAAUAUUAUAUCAUCUUUUUACAAAGUUAAAUCGCGUGAGAAUUAUCAUAACAAAGGUUAAAAUUGUCAAGCUGUUGCGUGACGCUUGAAGGAUAUUUUUCGCGAACAUGUUAAGCGCAUCGUAUCGAUAAUGUUUGGAAUCUGAAAAUGUACGUAGAAACUGCAAGAUAUUUAAUGUAUAUAGGUAUAUGUUUUUUCUAUUUAUCAUACAAGUGUUUAGGGUGUUAAUUAUUCGUUGUAUCGGUAAACUUGAACAUUAGGGACAUCUUCAAUAUUUGUUAUACGUUUAUGAUGGCUGUUGAUAUCGUAUACUAUGUCUUUAUUAAAUAUAUGUUUGUGGUUAAAUGUCUUGUAACUUUUGAAUAUAAAUCAAGUUCAAAAGUGGUGUCUAAACUGAGAUAAGAAGACUUCUGAUAUUAAUACAAUCAGUAAAUGUAUAUGUACAAGUAGAAUACAAAAUAUACGUAAUGUAGUAAAUGGUAGAAUAUAUCAUUGCUAUUGUUGUAUCAUUAUUGUGUGUAUUUUACAAGUGUAUCGCACAGUCGUAUAUCGCUGUACAUGUUAUAUAUGUGUAAUACAGCGCUAUAUGUUGUACGUAUUAUACAAUAUUGUAUCACUGAGAUUAAUGUAUACGUAUGUAUAAGAUUGUCAGAUUAUCGUAAGGCCAGAAAUACAUCGUAGAAAUUUAAACAA